AAAGGAAUUGACGGGGACUCGCACAAGCGGUGGAGCAUGCGGUUUAAUUCGACGCAACGCGAAGAACCUUACCAGGUCUUGACAUCCCGCUGAUCUCUCUAGAGAUAGGGAUUUCCUUCGGGACAGCGGAGACAGGUGGUGCAUGGUUGUCGUCAGCUCGUGUCGUGAGAUGUUGGGUUAAGUCCCGCAACGAGCGCAACCCUUAUCAUUAGUUGCUAACAUUAAGUUGAGCACUCUAAUGAGACCGCCGGUGACAAACCGGAUGAAGGUGGGGAUGACGUCAAAUCAUCAUGCCCCUUAUGACCUGGGCUACACGCGUGCUACAAUGGCCAGUACAAAGAGUCGCAAAGCCGUGAGGUGGAGCUAAUCUCAUAAAGCUGGUCUCAGUUCGGAUUGUAGUCUGCAACUCGACUACAUGAAGUUGGAAUCGCUAGUAAUCGCGAAUCAGAAUGUCGCGGUGAAUACGUUCUCGAGUCUUGUACACACCGCCCGU
rnacentral:rRNA from 1 species